UACGGAGGGUGCAAACGUUGCUCGGAAUCAUUGGGCGUAAAGCGCACGUAGGCGGACCGCUAAGUCGGAUGUGAAAGCCCUCGGCUUAACCGAGGAAGUGCAUUCGAAACUGACAGUCUUGAGUAUGGAAGAGGGUCGCGGAAUUCCCGGUGUAGAGGUGAAAUUCGUAGAUAUCGGGAGGAACACCAGUGGCGAAGGCGGCGACCUGGGCCAAUACUGACGCUGAGGUGCGAAAGCGUGGGGAGCGAACAGG
rnacentral:rRNA from 1 species